AAAUGAUUGUAAAGCAUAUUGCAUGUAUUUCUAUUGCAGGGGGCUUCUGGUGGUUCAGGAGACCCCUUCAUUCUGCUGCCUUUUUGUGGCACUGAGGAGCUGAGGGCUGCCUGUCUGCAGUGGCAGGGUGAGGGUCCAGACCCCUGGACGGAGCUCAGGAGGGUCCAGCAUGAGUUCCUCGAGGGGAAGCUGAGGGCCCUCAUUCAGAAGGUGGAGUCUCACUGCGCACGCGACUCUCCCACUCUCCUGCCUUUUUCCG